AUGGAUUUAUCUUCAGAGAUGAACAAACAUGGAAGGAAUCCAGUAAGUCACAAACUAGAAGAUCAAAAGAAGUCUUUUGAUGUGCCAGCUGAGGGGUUACAGACUCGGUACAUGUUCUUCCUGGUGUGCUGGCCUCUAAUCGGAGCUCUACAGCAAGCAGAGAGGUCAUUCUGGGGUAGCACUUUGUGGCUGUUGUGCACUUAAUACGGGGCCUUAAAAUGAGAUUUAGUGGCCUUUGAAUUACUGCAUAGGUUCAAUGAGGCUGUUAACAUCAAAAUAAUGUAUUAAACUACAUAUUAUGUGCUUUAUUAUUACACAGGCUUGUUACAAUAAGUGCUGCUGGUUUUGGCAUGGAAUAUUGGUAUGAAAGACACUGUCCAAUGUUUCAAAUAAUUUUGAUAUUAUUUGGGAAAAAUACAAAUUGGGGAAAUUUAUAAGCAGCAUAAAUGAAAUUGUUUUAAGUCCUGGAAAAUUAAAUACUUGGUUUUAAUGCCUUUGAAAUUUGUAUUUGUUAAUCUAAGUCAUUCAGUCACAGCUGAUAGCCUUUUAAAGAGUGAAUUGCUGGAAAUAUACCAUGAUAACACAUACAAUGAAAUUAUUGGGAAAAUAUAUUCAGACUUUGAGCAGGCUCUUGGUAAUGGAAAAGACACAGAGGUACAUGAUAGGAGAUAACUGGUUUAGAGCAUGGGACUUUCUCCAACUCAUAAUUCCCACCCUUUUUUUGCAUCAAAGAAAAGCUGUGAAAUAUUAGGGUUAAUCUCAACAUCCAUUGGACUGCUUUCUGAACCAUGGUUAUCUGACCUGAAAUUGAUUAUGCUCUAGGGGGUGUGUUUUUCUCUUUUUUUUUUUUUUUCUUUUCAAAAGAAAAUUUGGUUUUUCAUCUCUAAGUGCAUUUUGCAGAUUCACGUAUAGAGGCUGAUUCUUCAGAUUGCUUAGGAGGAGAAAGAUUGUUUCAAAGAGGAUCUGUUGUACCUUGAGGUCAAUUUUUUCUUUGAGCAAGGAUAUUUUAUCCAGCUGUAGAACUAUGAAACAACCACUGAAGACUCUGUAGCUGCUAAAAAUGUCUGGUCCUGUGGCACAGUUCAUGCUGAAGAACUGAAUUUCAUGAUCAUAAACACAAGUCUGGUUAUUUUUCAUUACACACAGGAAUUCUAACUAGUAAUUUCAUAUAUUUGGUGUGCUAAUGCCUUUUUUUUUUUUAAUAGGAGGUUACUGUUAGAUUUUAAUAAAAUGAGGCUUCAAAAAC
rnacentral:lncRNA from 1 species